CUACGGGUCGCAGCAGUGGGGAAUAUUGCACAAUGGAGGAAACUCUGAUGCAGCAACGCCGCGUGGAGGAUGACACUUUUCGGAGCGUAAACUCCUUUUAUAUAGGAAGAAGAUGACGGUACUAUAUGAAUAAGCGCCGGCUAACUCCGUGCCAGCAGCCGCGGUAAUUCGGAGGGCGCAAGCGUUACUCGGAAUCACUGGGCGUAAAGAGCGUGUAGGCGGAUUAAAAAGUCAGAAGUGAAAUCCUAUAGCUUAACUAUAGAACUGCUUCUGAAACUCUUAAUCUAGAAUAUGGGAGAGGUAGAUGGAAUUUAUGGUGUAGGGGUAAAAUCCGUAGAGAUCAGAAGGAAUACCGAUUGCGAAGGCGAUCUACUAGAACAUUAUUGACGCUGAGACGCGAAAGCGUGGGGAGCAAACAGGAUUAGAUACCCUCGUAGUC
rnacentral:rRNA from 1 species